AGCGAACGUUUGCGGCGGGCCUAACACAUGCAAGUCGAACGCACUAGCAAUAGUGAGUGGCGCACGGGUGCGUAACACGUGGGUAAUCAACCCUUCAGCCUGGGAUAACGACUCGAAAGGGUCGCUAAUACCGGAUACGGCGCGAGAGGCUUCGGCUUCUCACGAGAAAGCCACGCAAGGGGCACUGAAGGACGAGCCUGCGGCCCAUCAGCUAGUUGGUGAGGUAAGAGCUCACCAAGGCUAAGACGGGUAGCUGGUCUGAGAGGAUGAUCAGCCACACUGGAACUGAGACACGGUCCAGACUCCUACGGGAGGCAGCAGUGGGGAAUAUUGCGCAAUGGGCGAAAGCCUGACGCAGCCACGCCGCGUGAGCGAUGAAGGCCUUCGGUCGUAAGACUCUGUGGGAGGAGACGAAGAAAGACCUGUGAAGAGCAGGCCUUGACGGUA
rnacentral:rRNA from 1 species